CAAUGUGUUUCAGAAUGUAGU
rnacentral:miRNA from 12 species